GACUGUAGUGUCAGGGUUUAUUCCAGA
rnacentral:piRNA from 1 species